GACAGAGGGUGCAAACGUUGUUCGGAAUUACUGGGCGUAAAGCGCGUGUAGGCGGUCUCGCAAGUCGGAUGUGAAAGCCCAGGGCUCAACCCUGGAAGUGCACUCGAUACUGCGAGGCUAGAGUCCCGGAGAGGAUGGUGGAACUCUCGGUGUAGAGGUGAAAUUCGUAGAUAUCGAGAAGAACACCGGUGGCGAAGGCGGCCAUCUGGACGGUGACUGACGCUGAGGCACGAAAGCUAGGGGAGCAAACAGGGA
rnacentral:rRNA from 1 species